CUGCGCCCCGGUAUUUGGGAAAAAAACGAGUCGUUCACCUGAAACCUUCGAAGGAAUUGGUGGGAUCGGCCAAGCGGGAACCUCCGCACCCUUAAUCGGGGGCUGUCAAGAAGUGUCACGGCGAGAAAUUAGCAAUUAGCGAGAGGGACGCAACGUUGUGCCUUGGUGAUAUCCUUCCGCGAUUUUUUUGUCUCCUUUCAGACUGUUUUGGUCUUUUAGCCGAAUAGCAACGGAGAAAAGAAACUCAAGAGAGUUCGGGGGAAAAAAAUCGUAAAGAGGCGAGCGUACUAGCAAAAGCUGCGAUUGGCGAGUCUGACGUAGUGUCGGAGGUUGUCUGCUUUACUACACAUUAAAAGGACACUCGAGCUCUUAUUAUUAGUCUUAUUAUUUUCUGAAGAAGGAAACAGUUUUUUUUUUUUUUAGUUUUAAAGCAGACGUUUCGGCCUGUGAAUCCCAAACAAAAGCAAAGCAUCCAAUUCAAGUUGUUUAUGGGAGCAGCAUGUCAAUGAAGCAGGCCGGCGGCACCCGAAAACCCGGCGGCAGCGGCGGUCCUUCUGCGGCCUCAGGAGCAGGGGGGAGCGGUGGGCGACAGAGCCUCGCCAGGGGUCGCAACAGUGGAAAAGGUCCCCCGUCAGCCUCUAUACCGUUUGACGGUGUGUAUGCGAACAUGAGAAUGGUGCAUGUCCUAACAUCUGUUGUAGGUACAAAAUGUGAACUAAAAGUAAAAAAUGGAAUAGUCUAUGAAGGAGUUUUCAAAACCUACAGCCCCAAGUGUGACUUAGUACUGGAUGCAGUUCACCGUAAGUGCUUAGAUAGUGCUCUUGGUCCAAAGCGGGAGGACAUUGUGGAGAGCAUCAUUUUUAAAGCCUCGGACGUUGUCGUCGUGCAAUUCAAAGACGUAGACUUGAAUUAUGCAAGAAAAGAUACAUUUACUGAUUCUGCCAUCAAUGCUAGAAUAAACGGUGAACAUAAAGAAAAGGAUUUGGAGCCGUGGGACAGUGGAGAGAUGGCAAGUGAGGAUUUAGAAGCCUUGGAAACUGAUGUGUCCAAUGGCUGGGAUCCCAAUGACAUGUUCAAAUUUAAUGAAGAAAACUAUGGUGUUAAAUCUACUUAUGACAGCAGUCUCUCCUCUUACACUGUGCCUCUAGAGAGGGAUAAUUCAGAAGAGUUUUUGAAACGGGAAGCCCGCGCAGCCCAGCUGGCAGAAGAGAUCGAGUCCAGUGCCGUCUACAAGGCGCGAGUAGCACUAGAAAAUGAUGACCGCACAGAGGAGGAGAAGUACACGGCUGUGACGAGAAGUACCGAACGAGAGGGGCACAUUGGGAGUUUAAGAGACAAAUACGUUCCUCCUGGACAAAGAAAUCGAGAUGGCAUGUCCUGGGCAAGUGUACGACAGAGUUCUCCAAGAAUGACACAGCCAAGCUCUGUAUCUGCACCUCCACGUGCCGUCACUCACAAUUCCGAGUACAGCCCAAGCUCUGGAGUAGAACAGAGGGUAGUUAAUGGAGGUGUUCCCUGGCCAUCGCCUUGCCCAUCUCCUUCCUCUCGCCCACCUUCUCGCUACCAGUCAGGCCCCACCUCUCUUCCACCUCUGGCCGCCACACCUACCAGGCCCCCUUCCAGGCCGUCACGGCCUCCAUCUCACCCCUCUGCUCACGGCUCUCCAGCUCCUGUUUCUGCUAUGCCUAAACGCAUGUCUACUGAAGGUCCUCCCAGAAUGUCUCCUAAAACGCAGCGAACCCCCAGGGGCCACAGGGUCUCAACAGGACGGAGUGGUGUGUCUUCUAGUGUUGAGUUUAUGUCUCACACAGCAACUGCAGAAAUGUCGGCAGCACCUGCCGCUCGAACCAGCCCUUCAGGUGGGACGUGGUCAUCUGUGGUCAGCGGAAGUUCAAGUUCCCGGUUAUCUCCCAAAGCACACAGGCCUAAGUCUCCUCGACAGAACAGUGUUGGAAGUGCUUCUAGUGGUUCCUCGCUACCCUCUCCUCAAGUGGGUACCAUCCCUGCUGAGCCUGUAGCCAUGCCUGUUUCAUCAGCUUCACCCACGACCACCAGCCCUGCUCUAAACAGAACGAUUACGCCAUCAGUAGAAGCCAAAGAAUCCAGGCUUCAAGAACCACGGCAAAAUUCGCCCACUUCAGGCAGAGACAAUCUCAAGACAAAUGAGGCCUCGCCAAACUUCUCAAAACCUGUUACUAAGGCUGUUCCCUGCAUGGCCCCGGACCACAGAAAACAAAUUGAUAACUUAAAGAAAUUCAGCGUCGAUUUUCGAUUACAACCAAGUUCCACUCCUGACCCUGUGUUUGACCAGAUGAUCAGCAAACCUCGAGACCCUCCUGAAAAGUUGAAAGACUCGCAGUCAGAGAAGUCCGAGUCACUUAGUAAGGAGCUGCUGAUUGAGGACAACUCUGCCAGCAACACUACAGGGGGAAGCAGCGGCGGCAGCAGCAGUAGCAGCAGUAGUAAGCCCAGUAGCCCCAGCACUCCUCCGUCAACACUUUGCACUUUAGAGCAGCGAAAGGGACCAGAUGUUACCUCUCAGGGGGUCCAGACCUCUGGCCCGGGCAGCAAACAUGACAAAGAUGACAAGGAGGAAAAAGCAGACACCACCCCAGAACAGGUCAGGAAAUCCACUUUGAAUCCAAAUGCUAAGGAAUUUAACCCUAGGACAUUUUGUACACAACCUAAACCUGCAUCUACGCCUACUCCUCCACGUCCUCAAAGUCAGCAAAGUCCAUCCAUUGUAGUGCAGCAGCAUCCCACUGUGUACAGCCAGACGGUGUGCUUUCCGCAGAUGUACCCCCUUCCGGUUAGCCCAGGAGUGCAGCAGACUGCCAUGUACCACGUCCCAGUCGCACACAUGCCAGUGAACCAGACGAAGCCCUAUAGAGCAGGUAAAGUACCCAACAUGCCUCAACAACGACCUGACCAGCACCAUCCCCAAGGCACAACAGCCAUGAUGCACCCAGUGUCGGCAGCAGGACCGCCAAUUGUAACACCCAACCCUGCAUACUCGGCACAGUAUGUGACCUAUAACCCUCAGCAGUUUGCCAGUCAGCCUCUGGUUCAGCAAGUACCUCAUUAUCAAUCGCAGCCUCCACAUGUCUACAGCCCAGUGUUACAGAGUGGUGCUCGUAUGAUGGCUCCUCCAACGCAUGGCCAGCCUGGGCUGGUGUCGUCUUCUACUACACAGUAUGGGGCUGCUGACCAGACACAUGCAAUGUAUGUUUCGCCCGGUCCCAUCCCUCAGCAGUACACCCACCCCAGUGCUGCGCUGCACCAUCACCCUCAGCAUCCUCAGCCAUCGGCCACUCCAACGGGACAGCAGCAGCAACAGCAAACACCACACCCUGCCAGCCAUCCUGCUCCAAGCCCCGUUCAGCAUGCCCAGCAUCAAGCCGCUCAAGCUAUUCAUUUGGGGAACCCACAGCAACAGCCCCUCUACUCGACCCUGACCCCGACCCCUCCUUCGAUGACCCCAGGCCCCAACCCACAGUCUCCUCAGACUAGCUUCACCACUGCGGCCCCAGCUGUUUACAUUCACCCCCAACAGGUCCAGCAUGGCUACAAUACCUCGCACAUGGCACACGUUCCUCAGGCUCAUGUACAGUCCGGAAUGGUUCCACCUCAUCAUGCGACACCCACUCAUCCGCCUAUGAUGCUGAUGGCAACCCAGCCUCCCGGUGGACCCCAGCCUCCAAUUCCUCAGAGCGCACUGCCUCCUAUUCCUGUCUCCUCAACUACACACUUCUCAUACAUGGCACAUCCUUCAGGCUACCAUCAGUUAUGUCAGGUCAGUAGAAGAUGAGAUGACCUAUUAACCCUUUCCCACCUAUUGAUGACUUGGCCACCCCAUCAGUGCAAACCCACCAUCAACCCCAGUUAUAGGAAACACUAAACGGCUGCCGAGUUCGGCUUCCUCCCACGGACUCUCAGCCUGCUUCAGCAGAUCCAAAGAAACCGAUGGCUACGUGAUCAUCCUGCCAACCCCCUCCGCUUUCUUGUAAAGUCCGUAGGAAUGCUAAGAGGUCCGUCUGCGGUGGGCGGACCAUCGACAGACUUAAAAGACGUUUUUCAUGACGUGAAGGAAAUUUCCCCGUUUAAUUCUCGUUAUCAAGUUGUACAUAUUUGCCAUUCUGGACUCGACUGCUGAGAACUGGAAAGUUUCUUGUCACUUCACCCCAGCCCGGUAUGUUUCUAAAACUCUUCAUCUAGUGAACGAAUUAACACACCUGUUAAUUGCUGCUGCUCCGACUAGGACUUGGAAGACGAUUCAUCAUUCUAACCAAUCAGGAAAGGAAAAUAAAAGGAAGUUUGCAAAAAUCCCAUUUCAAGGAAAAAAAAAAAGUCUAUUUAUAAAUUGACUGUGGAGUUUACCUCUCAUCACCAGACAGUGAAUUAAUUUUUAAGUUAAAGAACUUUUACUUUGUAGAUAAUAUAAAUAAAAUUUAAAAAAGAAAUUAAAAAAUAAAAAAAGUUUUAAAAACUGA